GCCGUGGCUUUCGGAGCUAACGCGUUAAGUAGACCGCCUGGGGAGUACGGUCGCAAGAUUAAAACUCAAAUGAAUUGACGGGGGCCCGCACAAGCGGUGGAGCAUGUGGUUUAAUUCGAUGCAACGCGAAGAACCUUACCUACUCUUGACAUCCAGAGAACUUUCCAGAGAUGGAUUGGUGCCUUCGGGAACUCUGAGACAGGUGCUGCAUGGCUGUCGUCAGCUCGUGUCGUGA
rnacentral:rRNA from 1 species